ACUUGGAUCUGCUCUUGAAUCUGCCCCUGCGGAAAGAGGGCCGUUUGGACAGGCUGUGCCUGGAGAUUUCUGGCCUCAUAAAAUCCUCCUGGUCUCUUAGGAGAGCUGGUGACACUCUCCAGGUCCUUGGUGGAGCCUGAUGAUUGACAUCUUAAGCAAAUUCUCUGGAGAAGUCGAUGCUCCUGAUGGAGGCUCACACAUUGAUAACCCCUGGUUUAGAGACACUACUAAUUGUUCCAGCUCAUCCAGCUAAUAAAUGACAGAUCUCAGACUUAA
rnacentral:lncRNA from 10 species